rnacentral:rRNA from 1 species
GAGGAAAGAGGGGGGCGUGCCUAAUACAUGCAAGUCGAGCGAACGGACGAGAAGCUUGCUUCUCUGAUGUUAGCGGCGGACGGGUGAGUAACACGUGGAUAACCUACCUAUAAGACUGGGAUAACUUCGGGAAACCGGAGCUAAUACCGGAUAAUAUUUUGAACCGCAUGGUUCAAAAGUGAAAGACGGUCUUGCUGUCACUUAUAGAUGGAUCCGCGCUGCAUUAGCUAGUUGGUAAGGUAACGGCUUACCAAGGCAACGAUGCAUAGCCGACCUGAGAGGGUGAUCGGCCACACUGGAACUGAGACACGGUCCAGACUCCUACGGGAGGCAGCAGUAGGGAAUCUUCCGCAAUGGGCGAAAGCCUGACGGAGCAACGCCGCGUGAGUGAUGAAGGUCUUCGGAUCGUAAAACUCUGUUAUUAGGGAAGAACAUAUGUGUAAGUAACUGUGCACAUCUUGACGGUACCUAAUCAGAAAGCCACGGCUAACUACGUG